GACGAACGCUGGCGGCGUGCUUAACACAUGCAAGUCGAACGGAAAGGCCCCUUUGGGGGUACUCGAGUGGCGAACGGGUGAGUAACACGUGAGUAACCUGCCCUUGACUUCGGGAUAACUUCAGGAAACUGGGGCUAAUACCGGAUAGGAAUCCUUGCUGCAUGGUGGGGGUUGGAAAGCUUCGGCGGUUUUGGCUGGACUCGCGGCUUAUCAGCUUGUUGGUGGGGUAGUGGCUUACCAAGGCUUUGACGGGUAGCCGGCCUGAGAGGGCGACCGGCCACAUUGGGACUGAGAUACGGCCCAGACUCCUACGGGAGGCAGCAGUGGGGAAUAUUGCACAAUGGGCGGCAGCCUGAUGCAGCAACGCCGCGUGCGGGAUGACGGCCUUCGGGUUGUAAACCGCUUUCAGCAGGGGCGAAGCUUGUGGUGACGGUACCUGCAGAAGAAGCACCGGCUAACUACGUG
rnacentral:rRNA from 1 species